GCGAGGUGCCCGUUUCGCCAAAUGGCGUACGGUUGUGAGCAUCCCCAACGGUCCCUCUGCUCUGGCAGUCAAGGAAGCAGCCUGGGGUCUGGCUCGCUAUGCUGCCAUUGCACAGGACAAUGGAUUGGUCCCAAUU